GAUGAACGCUAGCGGCAGGCUUAACACAUGCAAGUCGAGGGGUAUAGUUCUUCGGGACUAGAGACCGGCGCACGGGUGCGUAACGCGUAUGCAAUCUACCUUUUGCAGAGGGAUAGCCCAGAGAAAUUUGGAUUAAUACCUCAUAGUAUAGCAACUUCGCAUGAAGUCACUAUUAAAGUCACAACGGCAAAAGAUGAGCAUGCGUCCCAUUAGCUAGUUGGUAAGGUAACGGCUUACCAAGGCUACGAUGGGUAGGGGUCCUGAGAGGGAGAUCCCCCACACUGGUACUGAGACACGGACCAGACUCCUACGGGAGGCAGCAGUGAGGAAUAUUGGACAAUGGGCGCAAGCCUGAUCCAGCCAUGCCGCGUGCAGGAUGACGGUCCUAUGGGUUG
rnacentral:rRNA from 1 species